AUUGAACGCUGGCGGCAGGCCUAACACAUGCAAGUCGAGCGGAUGAAGGGAGCUUGCUCCUGGAUUCAGCGGCGGACGGGUGAGUAAUGCCUAGGAAUCUGCCUGGUAGUGGGGGAUAACGUCCGGAAACGGGCGCUAAUACCGCAUACGUCCUGAGGGAGAAAGUGGGGGAGCUUCGGACCUCACGCUAUCAGAUGAGCCUAGGUCGGAUUAGCUAGUUGGUGGGGUAAAGGCCUACCAAGGCGACGAUCCGUAACUGGUCUGAGAGGAUGAUCAGUCACACUGGAACUGAGACACGGUCCAGACUCCUACGGGAGGCAGCAGUGGGGAAUUUUGGACAAUGGGCGAAAGCCUGAUCCAGCCAUGCCGCGUGUGUGAAGAAGGUCUUCGGAUUGUAAAGCACUUUAAGUUGGGAGGAAGGGCAGUAAGUUAAUACCUUGCUGUUUUGACGUUACCAACAGAAUAAGCACCGGCUAACUUCG
rnacentral:rRNA from 1 species